AGUAAUGUCUGGGAAACUGCCUGAUGGAGGGGGAUAACUGCUGGAAACGGUAGCUAAUACCGCAUAACGUCGCAAGACCAAAGAGGGGGACCUUCGGGCCUCUUGCCAUCGGAUGUGCCCAGAUGGGAUUAGCUAGUAGGUGGGGCAACGGCUCACCUAGGCGACGAUCCCUAGCUGGUCUGAGAGGAUGACCAGCCACACUGGAACUGAGACACGGUCCAG
rnacentral:rRNA from 1 species